UACGUAGGGGGCGAGCGUUGUCCGGAAUUACUGGGCGUAAAGAGCUCGGAGGGGGUUUGUCGCGUUGUUCGUGAAAACUCACAACUCAAUUGUGGGCGUGCGGGCGAUACGGGCAGACUGGAGUACUGCAGGGGAGACUGGAAUUCCUGGUGUAGCGGUGGAAUGCGCAGAUAUCAGGAGGAACACCGGUGGCGAAGGCGGUUCUCUGGGAAUGACCUGACGCUGAGGAGCGAAAGUGUGGGGAGCGAACAGG
rnacentral:rRNA from 1 species